rnacentral:rRNA from 1 species
UACGGAGGGUGCGAGCGUUGUUCGGAAUUACUGGGCGUAAAGCGCGUGUAGGCGGCCUUGCAAGUCAGGCGUGAAGCCCCCGGCUUAACCGGAGAAGUGCGUCUGAAACUGCUUGGCUUGAGUACGGGAGAGGGAGGCGGAAUUCCCAGUGUAGAGGUGAAAUUCGUAGAUAUUGGGAGGAACACCGGUGGCGAAAGCGGCCUCCUGGACCGAUACUUACGCUGAGACGCGAAAGCGUGGGGAGCAAACAGG